rnacentral:rRNA from 1 species
UACGUAGGGCGCAAGCGUUGUCCGGAAUUAUUGGGCGUAAAGAGCUCGUAGGCGGCUUGUUACGUCGGGUGUGAAAGCCCGGGGCUUAACCCCGGGUCUGCAUUCGAUACGGGCUAGCUAGAGUGUGGUAGGGGAGAUCGGAAUUCCUGGUGUAGCGGUGAAAUGCGCAGAUAUCUGGAGGAACACCGGUGGCGAAGGCGGCAUCCUGGACCGGCAUUGACGCUGAGGCGCGAAAGCCAGGGGAGCAAACGGG